UCGGCAACGGAUAUCUCGGCUCUCGCAUCGAUGAAGAACGUAGCAAAAUGCGAUACUUGGUGUGAAUUGCAGAAUCCCGUGAACCAUCGAGUCUUUGAACGCAAGUUGCGCCCGAAGCCUUUCGGUUGAGGGCACGUCUGCCUGGGUGUCACACAACGUCG
rnacentral:rRNA from 2 species